CCUACGGGAGGCUGCAGUGGGGAAUAUUGGGCAAUGGGCGCAAGCCUGACCCAGCAACGCCGCGUGAAGGAAGAAGGCUUUCGGGUUGUAAACUUCUUUUCUCAGGGACGAAGCAAGUGACGGUACCUGAGGAAUAAGCCACGGCUAACUACAUGCCAGCAGCCGCGGUAAUACGUAGGGGGAAAGCGUUAUCCGGAUUUACUGGGUGUAAAGGGCGUGUAGGCGGGAAAGCAAGUCAGAUGUGAAAACCAUGGGCUCAACCUGUGGCCUGCAUUUGAAACUGUUUUUCUUGAGUACUGGGGAGGCAGACGGAAUGCCUAGUGUAGCGGUGAAAUGCGUAGAUAUUAGGAGGAACACCAGUGGCGAAGGCGGUCUGCUGGACAGCAACUGACGCUGAGGCGCGAAAGCGUGGGGAGCAAACAGGAUUAGAUACCCCAGUAGUC
rnacentral:rRNA from 1 species